rnacentral:rRNA from 1 species
AACGAACGCUGGCGGCAUGCCUAACACAUGCAAGUCGAACGAGACCUUCGGGUCUAGUUGCGCACGGGUGCGUAACGCGUGGGAACCUGCCCUUAGGUUCGGAAUAACUCCCCGAAAGGGGUGCUAAUACCGGAUAAUGUCUUCCGACCAACGAUUUAUCGCCUUUGGAUGGGCCCGCGUUGGAUUAGCUAGUUGGUAGGGUAAAAGCCUACCAAGGCGACGAUCCAUAGCUGGUCUGGGAGGAUGAUCAGCCACACUGGGGCUGAGACACGGCCCAGACUGCUACGGAAGGCAGGAGUGGGGAAUAUAGGAGAAUGGGGGAAAGCCUGAUCCAGCAAUGCGGGGGGAGUGAUGAAGGCCUUAGGGUAGUAAAGCUGUUUUACCCGGGAUGAUAAUGACAGUAACGGGAGAAUAAGCGCCGGCUAACUCCGUG